rnacentral:rRNA from 1 species
GUAGUUAGCCGGAGCUUCCUCCUUGGCUACCGUCAUUAUCUUCACCAAGGACAGAGGUUUACAACCCGAAGCCUUCUUCCCUCACGCGGCGUUGCUGGGUCAGGCUUGCGCCCAUUGCCCAAUAUUCCCCACUGCUGCCUCCCGUAGGAGUCUGGACCGUGUCUCAGUUCCAGUGUGGCCGAUCAGCCUCUCAGCUCGGCUACCCAUCGUUGGCUAGGUGGGCCGUUACCCCGCCUACUACCUAAUGGGACGCGAGACCCUCUCUCUGCGGAUUUCUCCUUUGACCUCUGUGCCAUGCGGCACUGUGGUCUUAUGCGGUAUUAGCACCUGUUUCCAAGUGUUAUCCCCCUNAAAGAGGCAGGUUCCUCACGCGUUACUCACCCGUUCGCCACUAAGUACAAACCGAAUUCCGUACUUCGUUCGACUUGCAUGUGUUAGGCACGCCGCCAGCGUUCGUCCUGAGCCAGAAUCAAAACUUCGUACUACGUAGACGGGCCGGUCGCGGACGACGGCGACAGU